UUGCUUCUUCUGAUUUAGCGGCGGACGGGUGAGUAACACGUGGGCAACCUACCUAGUAGAUUGGGAUAACUCCGGGAAACCGGGGCUAAUACCGAAUAAUCCAUUUUGUCACAUGGCAAAAUGCUGAAAGGCGGUUUCGGCUGUCACUACUAGAUGGGCCCGCGGUGCAUUAGCUAGUUGGUGGGGUAAUGGCCUACCAAGGCAACGAUGCAUAGCCGACCUGAGAGGGUGAUCGGCCACAUUGGGACUGAGACACGGCCCAAACUCCUACGGGAGGCAGCAGUAGGGAAUCUUCCACAAUGGACGAAAGUCUGAUGGAGCAACGCCGCGUGAGUGAUGAAGGUUUUCGGAUCGUAAAACUCUGUUGUAAGGGAAGAACAAGUACGUUAGUAACUGAACGUACCUUGACGGUACCUUAUUAGAAAGCCACGGCUAACUACGUGCCAGCAGCCGCGGUAAUACGUAGGUGGCAAGCGUUGUCCGGAUUUAUUGGGCGUAAAGCGCGCGCAGGUGGUUUCUUAAGUCUGAUGUGAAAGCCCACGGCUCAACCGUGGAGGGUCAUUGGAAACUGGGAGACUUGAGUGCAGAAGAGGAAAGUGGAAUUCCAAGUGUAGCGGUGAAAUGCGUAGAGAUUUGGAGGAACACCAGUGGCGAAGGCGACUUUCUGGUCUGUAACUGACACUGAGGCGCGAAAGCGUGGGGAGCAAACAGGAUUAGAUACCCUGGUAGUCCACGCCGUAAACGAUGAGUGCUAAGUGUUAGGGGGUUUCCGCCCCUUAGUGCUGCAGCUAACGCAUUAAGCACUCCG
rnacentral:rRNA from 1 species